GAUGAAGAACGCAGCGAAUUGCGAAAAAGAUUGUGAAUUGCACCCGCGUGAAUCAACGAGUAUUCGAACGCACCUUGCGCUCUGUUGUGAGGCAGAGCAUGUCUGGAUGAGCACCAUCUAUCAUACUCUUUUUAGAGGAUUUAGAGAGAUCCGCUGUCAUUCUUGACAGAGGUCACUUGAAGUGAAGGGUUUAAAAGGGCAGACUGUUUUUAAGGGACUGUUUAGACAGUGAGCAUACAGGUUGGACAUUCGUUCACAUCUAUAGCUUGCAGUUGUUUGAGGCAGACCGUAAAGUAAAAAAGCAGCCCAAUAACCUAAAUUGCUGCUAUCAAUUAUCACCUUUUGGUAUCAUCUCAGACAAGACUACCCGCUGAACUUAAGCAUAUCAAUAAGCGGAGGA
rnacentral:misc_RNA from 1 species